rnacentral:rRNA from 1 species
UACGGGGGGGAGCAAGCGUUGUUCGGAUUUACUGGGCGUAAAGGGCGCGUAGGCGGCCACCGCAAGUCAGUUGUGAAAUCUCUGGGCUUAACCCAGAAAGGUCAACUGAUACUGCGGGGCUAGAGUGCAGAAGGGGCAACUGGAAUUCUCGGUGUAGCGGUGAAAUGCGUAGAUAUUCGCAAGAACACCAGUGGCGAAGGCGGCUCACUGGCCCGGUACUGACGCUGAGGUGCGAAAGCGUGGGGAGCAAACAGG